UUUCCAGCACGCCUCUCCCUCGCUACCUUUCUCUGCGCGCGCAUGCACGAAUUCGCUGUUGGUGAUGAUGUCCUCGCCUCUCUCUCUCUGCGGGCAUCCACGUCGCUCGUACCUUUGCAUAUGAGCACACACACUCACACACGCACGCACACAGAUACACACACAGAUACACUCCCCCGCAUGGGUGCGCUUACGUGUUUUUUUUUGUGUGGCGCUUCGAGUGCCUGAGGCAAGAACGGAGGAGGGGGAGGGAUGUCCGCAAAACGACGUGGUAAUGAGGAGUGCGUCAACGUGCUCUCCGCCAUUCUGAUGAUAUGCUUCACCUGCCAUUUAUCUUCUCUUUACAGCCAUUAUGUUCCUGCCGUCUGAGACUUCGAGGAAUCGAGUCAUUUUACCCGUUUGCCCCCCCCUCUUGCUUACCCACCACCACAGGGAUCCCUUGUGCGACGGGAAAGGGGGUAUAUGUAAGUCCAGCUAUUUGCGGGCAGCCUCCCCCGAUGCUGCCUUGACAACAACAGAGUUCUUAUGGAUGGCAUUGGCAUCGCUAGAGGUAUCGAGAGCGCGAGCGGAGGGAUACGGGAUUGGUAUGCCCUUCCACGGAAACAGGGCCGAUGCCCGUUAGGCCGAGUGGGGAGCAUGUGCUGCCGUGUAUCAAGCUUCUGUUUUGACAUCACUCUCUCUCUCGCCCCUUUUGUUCCGCGUUUUCGCCUUCCCUUCAUCGCUCCCUCGAGGCUCAACGUGCUCAGCCCCCACCGAGGGCGACACGAUAUUUGAAACCGCGAAGGCGCAGAAGUCAUGCCACACACGGGCGCGCGCGCUCUUCCAAGCGAGCCGAGCUCUGCAACACCAUUAAGCACGGGUGGCGAAAGCAUGAAUAAGCCGGCAAAGAGAAGUACAUGUGGGCCAUCACGCCGAGAGCAGCCAACACUAAAGCGGCG
rnacentral:misc_RNA from 1 species